CAAAGGAAUUGACGGGGGCCCGCACAAGCGGUGGAGCAUGUGGUUCAAUUCGAAGCAACGCGAAGAACCUUACCUGGGUUCGGAAUGCAGGUGUAAACCUCAGAGAUGAGGUCCCCUCUUCGGAGGCACCUGUAUAGGUGCUGCAUGGCUGUCGUCAGCUCGUGUCGUGAGAUGUUGGGUUAAGUCCCGCAACGAGCGCGACCCUUGUCCAUAGUUACUAACGCGUAGUGGCGAGAACUCUAUGGAGACUGCCGGUGAUAAACCGGAGGAAGGUGGGGAUGACGUCAAGUCCUCAUGGCCUUUAUGUCCAGGGCUACACACGUGCUACAAUGGGCGGUACAAAGAGUUGCGAUCCCGCGAGGGGGAGCUAAUCUCAAAAAGCCGCUCUCAGUUCGGAUUGCAGUCUGCAACUCGACUGCAUGAAGCUGGAAUCGCUAGUAAUCGCGGAUCAGCACGCCGCGGUGAAUACGUUCCCGGGCCUUGUACACACCGCCCGUCACAUCACGAAAGUCGGUUGCACUAGAAGUCGGUGGGCUAACCCGCAAGGGGGGCAGCCGCCUAAAGUGUGAUCGGUAAUUGGGGUGAAGUCGUAACAAGGUAACC
rnacentral:rRNA from 1 species